UGGAAAUGAUGUAACAUCUAACACCUGACAGUCUAUGGAGGGUAAACUACUGAUUUAAUGAGUCUGAUCC